rnacentral:rRNA from 1 species
AUACGUAGGGGGCGAGCGUUGUCCGGAAUUACUGGGCGUAAAGGGUGCGUAGGCGGCCUGAUAAGUCAGAUGUGAAAUACCAGGGCUCAACCCUGGGGGUGCAUUUGAAACUGUUGGGCUUGAGUGCAGGAGAGGAAAGCGGAAUUCCUAGUGUAGCGGUGAAAUGCGUAGAGAUUAGGAGGAACACCAGUGGCGAAGGCGGCUUUCUGGACUGUAACUGACGCUGAGGCACGAAAGCGUGGGGAGCAAACAAGAUUAGAUACCCUGGUAGUCCACGCCGUAAACGAUGGGUACUAGGUGUAGGGGGUUAUUAUACCUUCUGUGCCGGAGUUAACGCAAUAAGUAUCCCGCCUGGGGAGUACGGCCGCAAGGUUGAA